UACGGGGGGGGCAAGCGUUGUUCGGAAUUACUGGGCGUAAAGGGUUCGUAGGUGGCCAACUAAGUCAGACGUGAAAUCCCUCGGCUUAACCGGGGAACUGCAUCUGAUACUGGAUGGCUUGAAUUCGGGAGAGGGAUGCAGAAUUCCAGGUGUAGCGGUGAAAUGCGUAGAUAUCUGGAGGAAUACCGGUGGCGAAGGCGGCAUCCUGGACCGAGAUUGACGCUGAGGAGCGAAAGCUAGGGGAGCA
rnacentral:rRNA from 1 species